GACAACACUCUAGAGAUGAACUCUGCUCCAGGCUUGGUGACUGUGGUGCUCUUAAUGCUUGGACAAAUCUAUGGAGACUCGGUGACUCAGAUGGAAGGCCAAAUGACUCUCUCAGAAGGGGCUUCUCUGAAAAUGAACUGUACUUAUUCAACCACAACCUAUGUCGCUCUUUUCUGGUAUGUGCAAUAUCCCAGAGAAGGUCCACAGCUCCUCCUCAGAGCCAUGACAGCCAACGAGAAGGGAAGCAACAAAGGUUUUGAAGCCACAUACAAUACAGAAACAACCUCCUUCCACUUGGAGAAAGCCUCAGUCCUAGAGUCAGACUCAGCUAUGUACUACUGUGCUAUGAGUGACACAGUGACAGGAACUGCAGGGGGAGCUGAGCACAAACUCUGA